rnacentral:piRNA from 1 species
UAACGAUUAAUCAAGGUUCUUAGGAU